rnacentral:lncRNA from 1 species
AACACCACCAAGUCAUGGACAACAGCCACCAUAUUAUUUCAAAUCACCUCCAUAUUACUACAAAUCCCCACCUCCACCUUCUCCAUCGCCACCACCUCCAUAUGUCCACAAAUACCCACCUUAUUACUACAAAUCUCCACCUCCACCAUCUCCCUCACCACCUCCUCCGUAUGUGUACAAGUCCCCACCACCUCCAUCUCCCUCUCCUCCUCCUCCAUAUGUCUACAAGUCACCACCUCCUCCAUCACCUUCACCUCCCCCACCAUAUGUCUAUAAGAGUCCACCACCACCCUCUCCAUCACCACCACCUCCAUAUGUCUACAAGUCUCCUCCUCCACCAACACCCUCACCUCCCCCGCCCUAUGUUUACAAGUCACCACCACCUCCUUCCCCUUCACCUCCUCCUCCAUAUGUCUACAAGUCACCACCUCCUCCAUCUCCUUCACCUCCCCCACCAUAUGUCUAUAAGAGUCCACCACCACCCUCUCCAUCACCACCACCUCCAUAUGUCUACAAGUCUCCUCCUCCACCAUCACCUUCUCCUCCCCCACCCUAUAUUUAUAAGUCGCCACCACCUCCAUCUCCUUCACCUCCUCCUCCAUAUGUCUACAAGUCACCACCUCCACCAUCCCCAUCUCCACCACCACCAUAUGUCUACAAAUCUCCACCCCCACCAUCACCUUCACCCCCUCCACCAUAUGUAUAUAAGUCACCACCUCCUCCAUCUCCCUCUCCUCCCCACCAUAUGUUUACAAGUCACCACCUCCACCGUCUCCAUCCCCACCACCUCCAUACGUUUAUAAGUCACCUCCUCCAGCAUCUCCUUCACCACCUCCUCCAUAUAUCUACAAGUCACCACCACCACCAUCCCCUUCACCACCCCCUCCAUACGUCUAUAAGUCCCCUCCUCCUCCUUCUCCUUCACCCCCUCCUCCAUAUGUUUACAAAUCUCCUCCCCCACCAUCUCCUUCACCUCCUCCACCCUAUGUCCAUAAGUCACCUCCACCUCCUUCAGCUUCACCACCUCCUCCAUACUACUACAAAUCUCCACCUCCACCUUCUCCAUCACCUCCUCCACCAUAUGUCUAUAGGUCACCGCCACCUCCUUCGCCUUCACCACCGCCUCCUUAUAUUUACAAGUCUCCACCAUCUCCAUCACCUCCUCCAUAUCAUCCCUACCUCUACAGCUCACCCCCGCCUCCCAUCUAUUAAGCUUCCGGCUAUCAUUUGAAAUUUUUUCAAUGAAUUAUAUUCAGCAUUGUUGUGGUUAAUUUGUU